rnacentral:rRNA from 1 species
UGCCCGCAAGGAAAUGUAGUGAGAGGUGCUACAUGGCUGUCGUCAGCUCGUGUUGUGAAAUGUUGGGUUAAGUCUCGCAACGAGCGCAACCCCUAUCGUCUGUUGCCAGCAUUAAGUUGGGCACUCUGACGAGACUGCCUGGGUUAACCAAGAGGAAGGUGGGGAUGACGUCAAGUCCUCAUGGCCCUUAUGUCUAGGGCUACACACGUAAUACAAUGGCGCGUACAAAGGGAAGCGAACCUGCAAAGGGGAGCAAAUCCCAAAAAGCGCGUCUCAGUUCGGAUCGGAGUCUGCAACUCGACUCCAUGAAGUUGGAAUCGCUAGUAAUCGGAGAUCAGCACGCUCC